rnacentral:rRNA from 1 species
GGUUAAGCGACUAAGCGUACACGGUGGAUGCCCUGGCAGUCAGAGGCGAUGAAGGACGUGCUAAUCUGCGAUAAGCGUCGGUAAGGUGAUAUGAACCGUUAUAACCGGCGAUUUCCGAAUGGGGAAACCCAGUGUGUUUCGACACACUAUCAUUAACUGAAUCCAUAGGUUAAUGAGGCGAACCGGGGGAACUGAAACAUCUAAGUACCCCGAGGAAAAGAAAUCAACCGAGAUUCCCCCAGUAGCGGCGAGCGAACGGGGAGCAGCCCAGAGCCUGAAUCAGUGUGUGUGUUAGUGGAAGCGUCUGGAAAGGCGCGCGAUACAGGGUGACAGCCCCGUACACAAAAAUGCACAUGCUGUGAGCUCGAUGAGUAGGGCGGGACACGUGGUAUCCUGUCUGAAUAUGGGGGGACCAUCCUCCAAGGCUAAAUACUCCUGACUGACCGAUAGUGAACCAGUACCGUGAGGGAAAGGCGAAAAGAACCCCGGCGAGGGGAGUGAAAAAGAACCUGAAACCGUGUACGUACAAGCAGUGGGAGCACGCUUCGGCGUGUGACUGCGUACCUUUUGUAUAAUGGGUCAGCGACUUAUAUUCUGUAGCAAGGUUAACCGAAUAGGGGAGCCGAAGGGAAACCGAGUCUUAACUGGGCGUUAAGUUGCAGGGUAUAGACCCGAAACCCGGUGAUCUAGCCAUGGGCAGGUUGAAGGUUGGGUAACACUAACUGGAGGACCGAACCGACUAAUGUUGAAAAAUUAGCGGAUGACUUGUGGCUGGGGGUGAAAGGCCAAUCAAACCGGGAGAUAGCUGGUUCUCCCCGAAAGCUAUUUAGGUAGCGCCUCGUGAAUUCAUCUCCGGGGGUAGAGCACUGUUUCGGCAAGGGGGUCAUCCCGACUUACCAACCCGAUGCAAACUGCGAAUACCGGAGAAUGUUAUCACGGGAGACACACGGCGGGUGCUAACGUCCGUCGUGAAGAGGGAAACAACCCAGACCGCCAGCUAAGGUCCCAAAGUCAUGGUUAAGUGGGAAACGAUGUGGGAAGGCCCAGACAGCCAGGAUGUUGGCUUAGAAGCAGCCAUCAUUUAAAGAAAGCGUAAUAGCUCACUGGUCGAGUCGGCCUGCGCGGAAGAUGUAACGGGGCUAAACCAUGCACCGAAGCUGCGGCAGCGACGCUUAUGCGUUGUUGGGUAGGGGAGCGUUCUGUAAGCCUGCGAAGGUGUGCUGUGAGGCAUGCUGGAGGUAUCAGAAGUGCGAAUGCUGACAUAAGUAACGAUAAAGCGGGUGAAAAGCCCGCUCGCCGGAAGACCAAGGGUUCCUGUCCAACGUUAAUCGGGGCAGGGUGAGUCGACCCCUAAGGCGAGGCCGAAAGGCGUAGUCGAUGGGAAACAGGUUAAUAUUCCUGUACUUGGUGUUACUGCGAAGGGGGGACGGAGAAGGCUAUGUUGGCCGGGCGACGGUUGUCCCGGUUUAAGCGUGUAGGCUGGUUUUCCAGGCAAAUCCGGAAAAUCAAGGCUGAGGCGUGAUGACGAGGCACUACGGUGCUGAAGCAACAAAUGCCCUGCUUCCAGGAAAAGCCUCUAAGCAUCAGGUAACAUCAAAUCGUACCCCAAACCGACACAGGUGGUCAGGUAGAGAAUACCAAGGCGCUUGAGAGAACUCGGGUGAAGGAACUAGGCAAAAUGGUGCCGUAACUUCGGGAGAAGGCACGCUGAUAUGUAGGUGAAGUCCCUCGCGGAUGGAGCUGAAAUCAGUCGAAGAUACCAGCUGGCUGCAACUGUUUAUUAAAAACACAGCACUGUGCAAACACGAAAGUGGACGUAUACGGUGUGACGCCUGCCCGGUGCCGGAAGGUUAAUUGAUGGGGUUAGCGCAAGCGAAGCUCUUGAUCGAAGCCCCGGUAAACGGCGGCCGUAACUAUAACGGUCCUAAGGUAGCGAAAUUCCUUGUCGGGUAAGUUCCGACCUGCACGAAUGGCGUAAUGAUGGCCAGGCUGUCUCCACCCGAGACUCAGUGAAAUUGAACUCGCUGUGAAGAUGCAGUGUACCCGCGGCAAGACGGAAAGACCCCGUGAACCUUUACUAUAGCUUGACACUGAACAUUGAGCCUUGAUGUGUAGGAUAGGUGGGAGGCUUUGAAGUGUGGACGCCAGUCUGCAUGGAGCCGACCUUGAAAUACCACCCUUUAAUGUUUGAUGUUCUAACGUUGACCCGUAAUCCGGGUUGCGGACAGUGUCUGGUGGGUAGUUUGACUGGGGCGGUCUCCUCCUAAAGAGUAACGGAGGAGCACGAAGGUUGGCUAAUCCUGGUCGGACAUCAGGAGGUUAGUGCAAUGGCAUAAGCCAGCUUGACUGCGAGCGUGACGGCGCGAGCAGGUGCGAAAGCAGGUCAUAGUGAUCCGGUGGUUCUGAAUGGAAGGGCCAUCGCUCAACGGAUAAAAGGUACUCCGGGGAUAACAGGCUGAUACCGCCCAAGAGUUCAUAUCGACGGCGGUGUUUGGCACCUCGAUGUCGGCUCAUCACAUCCUGGGGCUGAAGUAGGUCCCAAGGGUAUGGCUGUUCGCCAUUUAAAGUGGUACGCGAGCUGGGUUUAGAACGUCGUGAGACAGUUCGGUCCCUAUCUGCCGUGGGCGCUGGAGAACUGAGGGGGGCUGCUCCUAGUACGAGAGGACCGGAGUGGACGCAUCACUGGUGUUCGGGUUGUCAUGCCAAUGGCACUGCCCGGUAGCUAAAUGCGGAAGAGAUAAGUGCUGAAAGCAUCUAAGCACGAAACUUGCCCCGAGAUGAGUUCUCCCUGACCCUUUAAGGGUCCUGAAGGAACGUUGAAGACGACGACGUUGAUAGGCCGGGUGUGUAAGCGCAGCGAUGCGUUGAGCUAACCGGUACUAAUGAACCGUGAGGCUUAACCUU